CAGGGGAUUGCAGUGGCAAAGCUAGGCUAGGUCUUGGAGGCUGGUGUAAGGCGAUGCGGGUGAAGGCAGGAGGCUGAUGGAAAGACUGGGGGGAAGAAAAGCCGAAAUGGAUUCACGGUGCCUUGGAUGAAGGACGAGAGGGGAACUGCAAGCUCCUUCAACUGGUUCUGUCCGGUGAGAAGUGAUCAAGCUUGGGCUGACAAGAGGCUCAGGGAGCCCUCACGUUCUUUCGCUUUUUUACCUGCCAAUCAAACUGCUACAAGACAACACCCUGAUCUGGCAUGGACAUCGCGGGUCCAAGCCUGUAGCCCCAAAUCGGAUAAUCUCUGCAGCUGAUAACAAGCAAAAGAGAAGCCAGGCAACAGCCAUAUUAAAGAAGAAAACAAUCAACUCUGAGGCCUCCCUACAGCGUUGGCUCAGCUCUAGCUACUUGGAAGGUCGUGGCAAUGCUGUCUCAGAAUGUCCAUUUCUAGAGUACAGGGAAGAAAUUCUAGCUUGACGUCCACGUGCAUUUGUCUGUGUUUCAGAGGAAAUUCCAGUUCUAAACUCUUGGAAGAAACAAUUUCUCGGCAUGCUGAAGAGACUUGCUGUUUUUUGGCACCUGAAACAUUUUUACCUGAGGGUUCUGAUUAUUUAAAUAAUUGGUAUGCUAUAACUAUUCUGGCUGACAGAAAUGUGGUUUAAUGUAGAUGAGUUGUAAAAACAUGUGACAAACAUGCUCCAGGCUAAAAAUAUCUGGAUUAAAAAAGAAAAAGAAAAAAGAA
rnacentral:sRNA from 1 species